AAAGGCAAAAAAGUGGGACGGGCCACCCCCAAGGGCCUCCCGCUGAGGGAGGCUUUUCUUUGGUAAAAUUAGCCGUUGGAAUAUGGAGAGGGCAAGACUGGUGUCAGCCGCCGCGGUAAUACCAGCUCUCGGAGUGGUAGGGAUGAUUAUUGGGCUUAAAGCGUCCGUAGCCGGCUUAGCAAGUCUCCUGUUAAACUCAGCGACUCAAUCGUUGAAUCGCGGGAGAUACUACUAGGCUAGGAGGCGGGAGAGGUCGACGGUACUUCUGGGGUAGGGGUGAAAUCCUAUAAUCCCGGGAGGACCACCAGUGGCGAAGGCUGUCGACUAGAACGCGCUCGACGGUGAGGGACGAAAGCUGGGGGAGCGAACCGGAUUAGAUACCCGGGUAGUCCCAGCUGUAAACGAUGCGGGCUAGGUGUUGGGAUGGCUACGUGCCAUUUCAGUGCCGCAGGGAAGCCAUUAAGCCCGCCGCCUGGGGAGUACGGCCGCAAGGCUGAAACUUAAAGGAAUUGGCGGGGGA
rnacentral:rRNA from 1 species